UACUUAAUUAUUAUUCUGAUAAACUUGCGGAUAAAAAUUAGGAAAUAAAAAGAAUUUUAAAAACCCAAGGCCUAUUUCCUGUAUUUAUCGCGACCCUCUGCGUUUCUUAGUACGCUUGCACAAGGAACAAAACGAGUAAUUCAAUAAAAAAAAAGAUUUAUUAAUGUAAUGUGUACGAAUUUUAAUAUGAAUUUGGUUUUAAUACAUACUGCUAUUAAUUUUUUUUUUUAUAAUAUAUAUUAUAAUGAAUGCAUAUAUAAUUAUGAUUUCGUGUUUGAACGUUAGUGAUUAGAUGUAACGAAACCUCAUUGGCGUGCGUGUGUCAUUAUGUCCAAAAAGUCAUUAUUUGACAUUCGCUCUGUCUGUUCUGUUUACAUUGUUGUUUCGUUAUGAUUAUGAAUUAAAGUAGGAUUACUAAAGGUGAUAUUGGUGAUGAGUGAUGACAUUUCUUCCUUUCAUAGCUAAACACCCUAUGAUAGCAUUGUAAUUUAAUUAUUUCUACCAUUAUAACUGCAAUUAACCUAACCUAAAUGUAAUAUUUUGUACUUAGAUUCAUAUAGAAACCGCAAGAUCUAAAGGCUUUUAAUCAUGUUUUUAGUUAUCACUAAUAGAGCAGCAAUAGAAUGCUACAUUUGGCAUGUCUGUACACUAUAUUUUUUUGGUGGGACAAAGCUCUAUAGAGAUUCUGGCAUUGUCAUUUUUCGACAUGAGUGUCAUUGUUGUGGUUUUUGGGGUCGCUAAUAUCGAAUACGGAGUGCAUCAUUCGAUUUUAUAAAAAUUGUCUUCUUCCGGAAUUAAUUGACCCAAGACAGGCAAGAAAUAUGAAUUUACGGGCUCAUUCCUCGCAUAUUCAAACAAAUAUCGUGAAAAUAAAGAAUUGAUGUUUAA